AUACGUAGGUGGCGAGCGUUAUCCGGAAUUACUGGGUGUAAAGGGUGUGUAGGCGGGAAGGCAAGUCGGAUGUGAAAAUUAUGGGCUCAACCCAUAAAGUGCGACCGAAACUGUUUUUCUUGAGGAUCGGAGAGGUAAUGAAAAUUCCCGGUGUAGCGGUGAAAUGCGCAGAGAUCGGGAGGAAUACCGGUGGCGAAGGCGAAUUACUGGACGAUAACUGACGCUGAGACACGAAAGCGUGGGGAGCAAACAGGAUUAGAUACCCUGGUAGUCCACACUGUAAACGAUGAAUGCUAGGUGUAAGAGGUAUCGACCCCUUUUGUGCCGGAGUCAACACAAUAAGCAUUCCGCCUGGGGAGUACGGCCGCAAGGUUGAAACUUAAAGGAAUUGACGGGG
rnacentral:rRNA from 1 species